rnacentral:rRNA from 1 species
GCUAUUAUUUACUUGAUUUAGAUUCCAUACGUGGAUAACUGUGGCAAUUCUAGAGCUAAUACAUGCACCAAAGCUCCGACUCGUUGACGAGCGCAUCUAUUAGAAUAAAACCAAUCGAGACAGUGUCUCGUCCAUUUGGUGACUCUGAAUAGCUUAGCUGAUCGCAUGGUCACGCACCGGCGACGUAUCUAUCAAGUAUCUGCCUUAUCAACUUUCGAUGGUAGUUUAUAUGACUACCAUGGUUGUAACGGGUAACGGAGAAUAAGGGUUCGACUCCGGAGAGGGAGCCUGAGAAACGGCUACCACUUCCAAGGAAGGCAGCAGGCGCGCAAAUUACCCACUCUCAGCUCAGAGGAGGUAGUGACGAAAAAUAACGAGACCGUACUCGAUGAGGCCGGUUAUCGGAAUGGGUACAAUUUAAACCCGUUAACGAGGAUCUAUGAGAGGGCAAGUCUGGUGCCAGCAGCCGCGGUAAUUCCAGCUCUCAAAGUGUAUAUCGGCAUUGCUGCGGUUAAAAAGCUCGUAGUUGGAUUUCAGCCUUACGACGUGGUCCAUUCAUUGAAUGCGAACUACGCCUCGUAGGCUAUAUUGAUGUUGGUUUUUCCUUACGUUGCUCUAAUCGGCUGCGUAAGGUGGCUAACGAGUUUACCUUGAAAAAAUUAGAGUGCUCAACGCGGGCUAACGCCUGAAUACUCGUGCAUGGAAUAAUGGAAUAGGAUCUCGGUUCUAUUUUGUUGGUUUUCUGAUCUGAGAUAAUGGUUAAGAGGGACAGACGGGGGCAUUCGUAUCGCUGCGUGAGAGGUGAAAUUCUUGGACCGUAGCGAGACGUCCCACUGCGAAAGCAUUUGCCAAGAAUGUCUUCAUUAAUCAAGAACGAAAGUCAGAGGUUCGAAGGCGAUCAGAUACCGCCCUAGUUCUGACCGUAAACGAUACCAACUAGCGUUCCGUCAGCAGUAAUUACGCCUUGACGGGCAGCUUUCCGGAAACGAAAGUUUUUCGGUUCCGGGGGAAGUAUGGUUGCAAAGCUGAAACUUAAAGAAAUUGACGGAAGGGCACCACCAGGAGUGGAGCCUGCGGCUUAAUUUGACUCAACACGGGAAAACUCACCUGGCCCGGACACCGUGAGGAUUGACAGAUUGAGAGCUCUUCUGAU